UCAUUUUAGGGCUGUCAUUUUAAUUUAAUUUGUUCACUAAAAAGCAUUGAUGCAAAUCUCCUUCCGUAUGUAAACAGGAGCAUACAGACACAAUAAAGAGCUUUUCAAGUCCUGCAGUGGAGAGAGUCACAGGUCCCAUCUGAGAGACUACAGACAGACAGAAUCAUGUACUUUAUAUUAUUGCUGAUGAUUUUAUCUACUGUGCUCAGUGGUAAUUGCAUUGAGUUGAAUCAGCCUGCUCUAAUGGUGGUAAAACCUGGGGAAUCAUUUUCCAUCGGCUGCAAGAUUACGGGAUAUUCGGCAUCAGGAGGUGGCUGUACCAACUGGAUACGACAGGCAACUGGAAAAGCGAUGGAAUGGAUUGGCUGGUUCUGUAGUUCUGGUGAUACAGGCACCAGCGACACAAUGAAGAAUAAGAUCAGCUUCACAGCUGAAACUUCCAGCAACACAGUUUUCUUACGAGGUCAAAACUUUCAGACUGAGGACACAGCUGUAUAUUAUUGUGCACGAAUACACAGUGCCACGAAUUGUCUGGGGACCUGUGCAAUAAUUCUUAUAUUCUCUCCAUACCAGACUGUUUGUAAAUACACAAAUGCAAUACAUUAAUGUAAGAAAAGUUUCUUGAAUAUUUCAUUUAUCUGUUAUUUACAUUUUACACUGCCCAGCCAAAAAAAAAAAAAAAAAAAAAAAAAAAAAAGUCGCUGCUUGGAUUUUAAUAGGCAAAUAUUUAAAGGGAUAGUUCACCCAAAAAUGAAA